rnacentral:rRNA from 1 species
UACGUAGGGCGCAAGCGUUGUCCGGAAUUAUUGGGCGUAAAGAGCUCGUAGGCGGUGUGUCGCGUCGGCCGUGAAAACCUGCAGCUUAACUGUGGGCUUGCGGUCGAUACGGGCAUCACUGGAGUUCGGCAGGGGAGACUGGAAUUCCUGGUGUAGCGGUGAAAUGCGCAGAUAUCAGGAGGAACACCGGUGGCGAAGGCGGGUCUCUGGGCCGAUACUAACGCUGAGGAGCGAAAGCGUGGGGAGCGAACAGG